CCUACGGGAGGCAGCAGUGAGGAAUUUUCCGCAAUGGGCGAAAGCCUGACGGAGCGACGCCGCGUGGAGGAUGAAGGUUCUUGGAUUGUAAACUCCUGUCACUGCAGAACAAGGCUACAUGUAUGAAUAGUACGUGUAGUUGAUGGUAUGCGGAGAGGAAGGGACGGCUAACUCUGUGCCAGCAGCCGCGGUAAU
rnacentral:rRNA from 1 species